rnacentral:rRNA from 1 species
UACGUAGGGACCGAGCGUUGUCCGGAAUCAUUGGGCGUAAAGAGCGUGUAGGCGGCCACUUAAGUCCUGCGUGAAAUCUUGCGGCUCAACCGCAAGCGGUCGUGGGAAACUGGGUGGCUAGAGUGCGGGAGAGGAGACUGGAAUUCCUGGUGUAGCGGUGGAAUGCGCAGAUAUCAGGAGGAACACCGGUGGCGAAGGCGGGUCUCUGGGCAGUAACUGACGCUGAGGAGCGAAAGCGUGGGGAGCGAACAGG